AAUAAUAAUCCAAUAUAAUCAGAAAAUAUAUAAGUUUCUUUUAUUAUUUUCUUUUAUUAUUAUGUUAUUUUCUGACUUAAUAAUCUUUGCAUAAUUUUGUCGUUUUAAUUAAUUUUUCAUCAAUUCUGGGAAACAUCAUUACAUUAGUUUGAAUGUUAAUUUUAUUUUCUCAAAGAAAUUUAAUGCAUACAUAUAAAAUAUACAGACACAUACUUGCGCAUGUGUGUACAUCUAUGUAAUAAUUGUAUAAAAUAUAUGCAUAUAAUUAAUAUUGCACCUACAUUUUACUUUAGAAAACAUAUUUAUUUGUACAUCAACAAUGUUAAAUCAGAAUUUGUCAAAUAUUACCAAAGAAUAUAACUCGAUGUCCCUUUUUUUUAUCUUAACAAAACUCGGAAUUUGCAAUUUUCGAUAAUACGUGUACAUGCGCGUGCGUUCCUUCAUCACCACACGCGCAAUCGGGCCCAGUAAUGUCCUUUGAUAUUGUCCUUGAGAAAUCUAGGGUUGCCAGCAGGGAAAUAUCGAUAUUCCGCCGAUGUACCAUACGAAAUUUCAAGCAUGGCCAGGCCGUUUGAUGACAAGCGCACCCUCGCACGCAGGGGGAGGAAACCGAAAUGCAUCCACCCCGUCCAUCAAAGGGGGAUGAAUUCGACCAAUUGAUGGGUUUGGAGCCAGCGUCGAUCAAUCGACAAACUCCGUGCUCAAAGCCAGUGGCCAUUCCUACUCCACUGACCCUGUUCGUUCGCCACUCGUUUCGUCGAAAAUUGGAUUUUUUCCCUCUUGCAUACGCCACUAUGAAAACCAUGAAUGUGUGCCAAAAUUCAUAUGCUUCUCAUAUUACGUUACAGUUUAUUGUAAAGAUUCUUUUCUUACAUAUUCGCAAUCACGCAUUUCAAUUCGAGAUAGUCUUGUAACUUUGUGAAUUGUAAGCAAGUUUUGUAGAUAGAAACAUCUUCGGAUUAUCCAAUAAAUGAAUAGAGCAAUUAUUAUCCCAAAUUAUUCCAAAAUUAAAUCUCAUUAAAUUAAAACGUUUUUCCUUCAAGUUUCGAUAGAGAAAUUAUUCCUACGAUUACACAAUUGCAAACGUCACGCACUUCGAGAUUAUACCGCGUGAGGAUCGUAUUAAAAAUGAAGCGAUGAAAGUUUGCGGAAGUAACGAAAUUAUUCCCACCCCAGCCAGAAACGCGCCUGAUAAUCAGGCAAGAGAGAGAGAGAGAGACAGAAAGACCAAGAGAAAGGGAGGAAAAGGGGGUUGAAAGGAGAGUAGGGGUAGAUAACACACGCGGCUGACGAGGAGGUGCUCUCGGAGGGACUACUCGCAUGCGGAUAAGUUUACUUUUCCGCAUCGAGGAUCCGAUGAAACGAGGCGUCCGCAGAUCCGAUCGGACAGCGGAAUCGCAGGUACAGGGCUGGUUAUAUCCGCGCGGCCUACCAAGCGCGGCAAUCCUGUCCGACCUCGGUCUCGUUCCUGCAACAUUUAAAGCCUCCUACCUGACGCACCUCUUCGUCUCUUCUGCCCCCCCCCCCUUCUCUAUCUCUCUUUCUGUUUUGCGUCCCUCUCGAUCCUUCCUAGAUAUUUCGUGAACACGAUCACGUCGUACCACAAUGCGGAAUCCCGCUUUUAUUCUUCCUUUCGAGUAUAAUGCGGAUCUCCGAUGGUUAGCUUAGACGCGGGCAGCUAUUUUUUAUGCCGGUUGGUGCGUGAAUUAUUAGCAUAUGGCGCGGCAUAUAUAUGUACGAUAUAGGCUUGACAGAUAAGAACGCUUCAACGAUUAUCGGAUGCGUUAAUGCUACCGGAAAUCGGAUCAACAAACGUGAUCUUCCCCCGUUCGCAUAUUGAUGCAGCGUCCGAUCGCGUGACUUUCUUUUAUAUCGAAAGGCAACUUUACGUACUUUUUUAGUACUUUACUUACGUAUUGAAUUCAUGAAAUAUAUAUAUUAUGUAAUUUAAAACAAUCGGUUUUUCUCAUUUGAAAUGCCUAUAUUUCGGUAAUCAAAAAGACUGGCCAUCUAUCUCAGAGUUACCUAUAUAUAUAUAUAUAUAUAUCUUCUUGUGUUUGAUCUCCAUAAUCUUAUUACUUUUAAUAGAAAUAAUUAUUUUUAAUAGAAAUGAUUAAUUUCAUUUUUGUCGAAAAAAUAAGAAAUACAAGUGUUACGUGGAAUGAAAAAGAUAACGCUGAAUCACGACGAGAUUUUCUGGAACUAAAGUCUUCUCCACGUCGAGAAAUGUGUCUUACCGCGGCGCACCUCAUUCUCGGUUCGAGAGAAUCAGAGCUCGUACCCAAUGUCUCACCCCCAAGGAAAUAAAUCUUCGGCCCCAGGCUGUGCAUCACCGGGUUGGCAAGCAAUUUGGGGCCCGACGAUAACUCAUACGAGCAUCGAUAGUACGCUCUUUUAUCUACGUAUAUAUAUAUAAGAGAGCUCUCGCGUAUAUCCAAGCAAUAUAACAAAAUGUUGUUUCGUACAUGUCUUUCCGCGUGCUUCGAUCAUGCAUAAAAGCGUGUACUACGUAGAUGUACAUAGAUGCGACGAACUGAUAAAAAGGCAAUCAGUUUCAAAGAAAAUUCUUUGAGAAACACACUGUAAUUGAUAAUAGUUAAUGGGCGCUUCCAAAUUUAUUAACAUAGAAAUAUAACUUUUAUUAUAUAGAGCAAGAUAAUAUCUACUAUUUAAUAGAAUUGUGUGGAUACACAUAUACACGCGCACAAAUUGGAAUAAUUAUAUCACUUAUAUUUAACCAUACAGCUAAAAAACUCAUGAUGAGAAAGUCAAGUCAGACCGUUUAACGAUUUCGAUUAACAAAAUCAAAAAACGCUAAAUUCGUCUUUUUAAGAAAUCCCGACUAUCCCGAGGGACCAGGUUUUCGUCGCGCGUUACAUAAGCGAGUUCUUAAGCUGGCCAUGUAGUGAUGGUACAUGGGUAGUCGUACGUCUUUGCAUAUAAUUAGAAGAGCAUUGAAUCGACCCUCGUCGGACGCCUUUUCACCGUGAAAGAGCAGGAUGGGACGAGAAGAGGGGGAGAGUAAGACUGCUCGCAUCCGAGUCGAAGGGUUUCCUAUUUUUUUUGUCCUGUCAGUACGAAAAAAGGUCUCCUCCUCUCCUUCAGGAGAAAAAGGGGUUAAAGGCUCCUUCCGCGAUCGGCAGGUACAUGCCGAUGACGUGUUCCAAGGCAUAUGCAUAUGUGUUUUGCUGAAAAGAGGGUCGAUCAAAUUAAAUCAGUGCCGUAAGAAAUUGGUCCUUGUUAAUAUCUCUUUUAUUUUUCUCUAUUAUUAUUUUAUUCGAAUAAUGUGGCGAUUUUAAAAGCGAAGAUGAACCGUAGAGCAAAUGCAUUGAUUAUUUUAUCACAAACAUUAACUCGAAAUUUUUACUAUGUAAAAAAGCGUUGUGUUAUUAAAAACUAUUCCAUUCAUUUUUAUGAAAAAGGACUUGGAUUUGAAUCUGCAAUUCAUAGCAAUUUAAUAACAAAACCACAUAUAUAUUUUAUCGAAUUUGUUUUAUACGACUUGAAAACAAUUUGACUUAACCGUAAUAUAUACAUAUAUAAACAGAAAUCAGCAUGUAGUUUAUUACAGAAGUAGAUGGUGAGCGAAAUUGGUAUCACGCUCCUGCCGAAAACCUCUUCAACCCUUUUCGGCCUUGGGCCCCGCUUCCUUUCUUAAAACUCGUCCGCAUAAAUUAUGCACGCAGGUAGUCUGCAUUGUACGGUCGCUCACCUCAGCGGGGCCCGAUGAUAAAUUAUCACACAUUGAAAAUUUCCGAGCUAACGAGGGUUGGAAAUUUGAAUAUCCUUCCGCGUGUCUUUCAUUCUCACGGCUCUCUCACCCUCUCCGUCACUCUUCUCGCGCCUCUUUUACAAGCUUUCGGCAAUCCAUACCUACCUGAGGAUUGCGCGCACACAAUAAGUCCGUGAUUUGAUUUAUCGAACGAUCUCUCUUGCGUAUGUGAGCCCGCGUAUAUAGGCAUAUUAUUACUAUGAAUUCACUCUGAAAUGAUUCGCAAGACAUCGUUGGAAGCUAGCGAAAUGGUGAUAUGCACCAUACCGAUUGUUCGAUGUUUCGAAGCAUUACACGACACAAUAACAAUUUUUCAAAAUUGGCUCGUUUAAUUAAUUCGUUUCUUCGUCAAUCGUAACAUUAGAGAUGUGUUUGUCGAAUUUUUUGUUAGUUUGCAAACUCUUAAUCGGUGACAUGAUGCUCACGCCAUUCCGUUUGUUAGUCCACCAACGAGUUAAUCGCACGUUUGUUAAAAUCGUUCGCUAUUAUCGGAUUAGGAUGCUGCGCGAGGGAGGUCGGAGAGAGGAAAUCAAACCAUUACAUGCCGCUGAUAAUUGACGCGCGCCUGAUCAGCGUUUCACGUCGGGAGAAUUACGCAUCCCGGUAUCUCGCGCAUACACCCUCAGUGCCGUGAGCUUCGGGGGUCACCGAACCGAACCGCCCAUCGGUGAAAAGUGCACCCUUAUAAACAAUCGCAGGGCCGGGCAGUGCGAUUCAUGAUGGCCGCCAACGGGAGUCCGGGAGUCCCAGUGCCCCUAUCGCGGCCGAAAAAGAAUAUAAUGAGCUUCCCCUACCAACUGGGCUUUCGUUACGGGACAUUGCAGGGACGGCAAAUGAAGAGUCGUAGAGAGAAAGGGAGAACACACCGGCGACGUGGCCGAGCGAGUGAGAGGGGAAAAACACCCCACGCGAGUGAUUUGCAUACACGGUCAACCGGCUCCACGACGUGACUCAGUUUCGUCGCCGGGGUUAGCUCGAAUCGUCUCUCCGCUUUAAUAAAGUACACCGCGCACGACGGCCGACAUAGUUCUCCUCUUUUUUGCUUUCUGCUUUUUUUUGUGCUGGUUUUUGCUACCGCGAAGAAAGACCCCAGAAUUCUUCAGAAUCAUUCGAUGUGCCUGCCGAAAUGCGCCACGCGACGGACCACGUAUCGUUUCACCUUAAUCGUGUCUCGGUGCGAAAUCGUUGGUUCCAGAGUGUACCGAACAGUUACUAGUGAUGUGAUUGAUCACGUUUCUCUCGUGUUGACAACGACGAUCAUAUGGCAGUUUAUAAAAUCUACUUUUAAUUCUGUUAUAAGGCAGGUUUUCUGGAUUUUUUUCGAGGAUUUUUAAGCUCGAUAGCUUAAUAAUAGACAGGCUAGAGAAUUUACGUAAAGAUAAAUAUGUUAAAUAACCGUUUAUGUGAAAAAUAUAUCUACUUAUGCACUCUUGCUGCGUAUAUUUUCAUUCGUGAAAGAGAUACACUGUUCACAAAAUAUCACAAUAAAAUUUGGAGUAUUGCUGCAACAAACACGACAAAUUGCUGCAGUUCCAAUUGUUGCAUUCGUAUCUGUACUUUCGAAUUUUUUUAGCAGAUUUUCGGUUUUAUCAUAUUUUUAAUGUUUAAAUCAUUACUUAUUCAUGCAUCAGUUACAGAAUUAUUAUUAGUAACAGAAUUAUAAUUAGUAUUUAUUAUAAUUAGUAUUAGUAUUAUAUGUUUUAUUCAUGCAGCAUCGUAAAAAAGAUAUAUUAUUAUUACAUCCACUGUGUAUGCAUGACUGACGUGAAUCUAUAACAUAUAAUUAAUAUUUAUUAUAAUUAUUCCAUAGCUAGACAUAAACGGUCCUGCUAUCACGAAACUGUUCGCGCUAUAACACUUUUGAUCAAAAUGUUGUCUGAAUAUCUUCGGUAUCAUUAUCGAGCACUUCACAAGAGACGUUGAACGAGUCCUACACGCGUUAACACUUUCGGCUUUCACAGAUAUCGUUACUACAUUCCUCUACGGGGUUUCUUGCUUUACACGGAGAUAGUUAACAGCGUAUAUUAUUAAUUACUGAUGCCAGUUAAACGAAGGAGAGCCAGCUCAACUGGAUGGAGUCGUCGAGAAGCCAUGUUGACGCCUGCGUAUGGCGACGUCGCGGCGCUUGUUUAGGGGGUGUGCUCUGCGCCGAGGGGAAAAGUAUUGACUGGAAAAAAGUAACGAAUCGAUUCGGUUUUCGGUACUAUUUUAAAAGUUAAUUAACGAGCAUUGUUUCGUCUUUGUCGAUUGUACAUUUAAAUAAUAUUUUUAAUUAAAACAUUUUUUAUUGAAAGAUAUAUAAAUGAUAUUCUUUCCGUAUUACAAAAUUUUACAGUUGUAAACCAGCUAGACUAGUAAUUUUCUCACAUGUUAAUAUAAAUAGAAAGAUAGCAUAUUUAUGACUAUAUAUUUAUCUGUAUUAAAUAUGUAACUGUAACGAAUAAUUUUUUACUGUUUACAAUAUGACGUAUAUUAUAUAAACAAUUGAAUGAAACAUACUGUUAAAAUUUAAAAAUUUCUCAUCGCAUAAAUAAUGCUCCAAACAUAAAUCAAAUGCUUAACGCGUGAACAUAAUAUAUUUACUGUACAAAAGAAUGAUUUUUACAAGACUUCAUGACAGAAUUAUUAUUUCUCUCUUGAAUUUUCACUAAAACGAGAUGAGAUAAAUGUAGUUGAUUUAACGCGAAGAAUCAAUCACAGAUAAUGUAAAUGAAGAAACUAACAAUUGUUUUCGGAAAAUCGCUUAUACACUGAGUUACGCGACGUAAUUGUGCGAAUGUAUUCGCAUGCGUGAGGUCGCAUUGUAUUAUACAAGUUGUAUAUAUCUAGCUGCGCGAAUAUGUAUAUAUAGGCAGAGUUGGGACGCAGACGCCGGCGUCGCGACGUUCGACGGUACAGUUCCCGUCGGACGGUCCUUGGAGAUGGCAGGAUUCGGUCCUGAUUCCCAGUCCUUCCUGCGCACUCAUCUUCGCACGUAGUCCUUCCUUCCUCUUCGUCUUAAGAUCAAAGGCAACAAACGAGAUCGGCGAGAUCGAGUGAACGCGCGAAACACCACACGUCCUUCAAAUGUUCUCGUCCAAAACGCAAUAAAAAUUCUAUCGCGCAUAUUAUUGAUAUCAAAACGAAGCUCUGAUCAGCACAGACUCGCAGUGAAGUGUCUCUUUCACGAGUGAAUUAUUUCAUUAACGUUAAACACGUGGCUGCUUUCAAAACGAUAAAAAAGGAUGUUUUUAUAAGACGCGCACAAAAUUCUGUUGGAUAUUUUGUUUGAUCAAUUGGACUUUAUGGCUUGUAUUAUGUACUCUUUGUAAAAAUAAUUUUCUAGUUUUCAAAGUUGCCAACUAAAUUUGCAUCUGCGAUUUCAUUCAAGACAAAAAUCAAAUAUUGUAUAAUAUAUUAAAUAUUAUAUUUAAAUGCCUCGAACUGUGUGGAUUUAUAUGAAAUAUUUGCAGAUACGCUCCAUCUAGAAGUGACAGAUCAUUAGAAUAGAAAAAAGCUACAGUUAUAUCAUGAAAGUCUUGUGUCUCGCGUAACAAUAAUUUCACAGGAAAUUGCGUAGAUCUAACCGACACAAUCGUAAUACGUAAACGUAACAACGUCUUUUCGCAGAUGAAAGAAUUAGCGACAAAAUAACGCGAUGUCAAAUGAACAAACUUUUAACAUUUUUGACACUUUUGCACUUAAGGUUCGUUGUCACGACAUAAUAUUCAUGAAAAAAGUAAAAACUCAUAUUUAUUACGACGCAAAAACUAUUUUUCUCUCCAUCGCGGUAGAUCACGAAGCGUCUCCGUAGACAGCUAACAGCUGAUUGUUUCCUCUCGCGGUGGCGAGCCUCCGUUUCAACUUAAUUACGUCACCGCCAUCCCCUCUCGUGCGCGCAACCCUCACCACCGUUCUUAAUCACCAUCCUACUCGUCUCUCCUCUUCUCUCACCCUGCUUUCAUUCAUUUUCACUUUCGCUUUCCGUCUUUCUGCCGCAUACACACGUUCAUGGAGCGAUUUCCCUUUCUCUCCUCGUCCUGACGGGCUGAGUGCGCGCGUGUAAUUAAUUUAUAUCCGUUUGGAAGUGAGAAAUCGAUUCGCGAAAAACGAUUAUUACGUUUUUCUUCACUCGCUGCUUCUCGUCACGUGAGAAGUUCGACAUUCUCUGCUGCAGAAGAAGAAGCAACGUGCGAUGACAAUAAUAUAUGAUGCACGCCAAUCCGAGCGCGCGUAAAUACGUACGCACGGAACGACGGAGACGCCCGAUGUUGCCAGGAGGACACAGAUGCUGAAGAAGAGAUCAUCGGAUCGGAUGCGAGAUCAGUAGCGUCCAUAACGACGGAAAAACUUGCCAAACAACGUGUUCACCGCUAAGAGAUUAUUACUCGCGAGAAAUAGGAUCUUCUUCUAUGGGUUCUUAGUGCAUUGGAGAACAGAAGACAUCGUGUCUCUUUCGACGUUUUGUGUAAUUUCAGGGACAACGUAAUGACAACAGAUUGUUUAACGCGAUCAAAAAGGAUAGGUGGAUUUCAGUCACUUCAAAGAGAAUAAUUUCAGAGUGACGUACUAAGGUAUAAAUCACGUAAACGACCGUAAAUAAAUUUUAAUCAUAUGUAUUAUACAUAGGCUACUCGCGUUGAUCAUUGACAUAAGAUAUAUGGACGGAGCCUUUUUUAUGAGGGGAAGCUGAAUUUAGCGAGAAGAGGAGAGUAUUGGAACAUCUAACUGAAGCAGAAAACACACAACUAAAUAAAAAACUCGUGUUAUAGCUUAAUUUACGCUUGUUCUUCCAUAUAUUAUUUUACAAGUUACUAUCUCAACUUUCAGUUAUACUGCACUUUUCGCUGGACUUAUGCAUAUGCAUCUAAUUAGGCGCAACAUAUCUUUUAAGUACGUCCAAUAAAUGUCGCGCCAUGGAAGUGGGGGUCGAAAAAGGAUAUAAUUAUACUUUUAUAUUAAUAAUAGGGACCAGUUUUUCUCGAGUGGGUAAUCGAUCACUGUCGUACCAUUAAUAACCUGUAAUAUCGCUAAGUCCUCUGCCCGGUGCUCGUGUGCAGUGUGAAUGCACUCGCGACGUAAUCAGCGUACGUUGUACGCAUUACGCACCCUCGUUCAUAGGCGCGCACGAACGCCGAUCGGUGGCAAGAAUUCGCUCGCUGACAAAACUAACGACGUCGACUUGUCGAGUCGUAAACUUGCGCGAACAUGCUCCAUAUAAUCCACAAUGUUGUUUAUUAUAAUAAUUCUCAAGGUACAAGGAACGUACGCACGGUAGCACAGUUGGUGUCGCGCGAGAAUGUCAAUCUUUCUUUCUCGCACGUAUACAUGCAUAAUCAAUCAUGUACACGUGACAGAUAAAUGAUUAAAUAAUCACAGCAUCGAUGGCGAAACGGUAAGAUCGUCAAGUUCAUCAUCGCGAUUCGAACUGACUCGCGAUGAACAUCAAUCUAGAUCUGACGAGCGGUAACAUCAACUUCUGGAAUAGAUAAUGAUGAUCAUGAAGGGAUUGCAGCUGGGCGAUGAACAUGUAUUCGAGAAUCAAGAUAAUCCUAAGUUGAACGUCAUGUUAUUACAGAAAAACCUUGUGUCACUAAUGAAAUGUCACUAAUGAUUCCACUUCGCGGAGUCGUUCGUGGGAUGAUCAUCAAAGUCGAAUGAAGGAGAGCUUCCGCCAUGAAACGCGCAUAAUUUAUUAAUUAUUUUAUUAAGUAUUGCCCUGCACAUAUACAGAGCGUGAUAGAUUGAAAAUAUUGCAUCAAGCACCAAGAAGCUUGAAAUGUGUAUUACGUUCAGGAAGAACACGUUUCCACUGAGCGGAUAAAACGAUUGCUACUGAUAAGCAUUAAAAAUCAUAGCGGAGCGCACGUGCAAGUAACGCGAUACAUGAACACACUGGCAAUGUAGCACUGUGCAUACAAUAUUAUGCCCGUUACACGAGACUUUAUCUUGAGAAUUUAAUCAUACCAAGUCAGCAGCACGUGAAUAUGCCAACGGUAUAAUUUGCAAUUCCGGAAAACUGCACUAAUUAUCAUCCCGUUUAAGUUCACGCAUUAAUCAUGUUAUCUAGAGAUUCACGCAAGGCCACCAUUUAGAAUACUCUUCCUGCAAGUAUACCUAUGAACUCUUAUGAGUCUCCAUUAUGAAUCAUUUUCAAAAGCCAGUAAUUUUAUAUAACGUGUUUUGAGAUAUUCCUUGCAUUAAUUAGAAAUGUAUCUGCUAUGUGAAAUUUAUUAAUACAAUGAUAAUCAUACAUGAUCAUAUUUAUUUAUCAGUAAGUUAUUUCGAAGAAAGAUGCAACAUUGUUUCGACUGAUAAGACGGAAAUAGGAAAUCUGAUUAGUAAGAAUAGAAUCUCAUUUAAUAAAAUAAACUUAAUGCGAAUUCAAGUUUUCGCGGUAAUCUACUUUGCUAUCAUAUUAUUAUAGUAUAUAUAAUAAUAUUAUAGUAAUAAUUUUCAGAAAAAUCUUUUCUGAAGCGACAAAGUGCAAGAAGUAUGUGAUAAUGUCUAUCACUUGUCAGCGUAACUUUUACCGAGUCGCACUGUUUGUGCAUCGAUGCUUAUCGAUGAUUCCCAGAAAUUCCAGAAUGCGCGAUAUAUCGUCAUUGUCCAAAGUGUUCAUUAGACCUUAGCGGGCGAUAAGACGCGCACGGUAGCUGCAAGCCGCACUGAGUGGAUUUGCAACAACGAUAACGAGGGGGAUGCUCGGAAGUGCCGAUGCAUUCUACGAUAUACUCGUGCGAGCGACGAGGAAACAGCGAGGAAGACCGAGAGAACUUAGGGGGAGGAGAGAAGACAGAGGCGCGAAGAAAGAGGCGUGAGAAGGAGGGCGAGAUGAAAGAGGGCGACGGGAAAAGGGAGAGAGAAAAUCCCUUGUAUGCAUUCGUGUAACACUUUACCAUGAAGCGAUUGCACAAGUGGGAACGCGACCCCCAUAAACCACCGUCGACCCCGCUUCUUCCACGGUGCGAGAGGAGAGGGCUCCUUAUUACCGUCGACUUGGCGAGAAAAUCAAGAAGCCACGAGUAUGUCGGCAUCGACAUACCUUCUCCCGAGCCGGAGAUUUGAUAAAUCUUUAAAAGAAAUCAUGGGAAAGUGAUGAGAUGGCCUAAAAUACUUUUGUAGAAUAUUAACGCGAUACGUUAACACAUGUACACUACAUCUGUAGUUUAAACAAAAUUAUUUAUGAUAUUUGUGAUAUUCGUAAAUAUAUUUCAUUCAAAAGUAUAUCCGGGAGAGGAAACGUGAAAUAAUAAACUUAACAAUGAAAAGAAGAAACAUAUAUUUUAUAACAUUGUUAGAGGACCAAGAGUAUGAAGAGAAGAUUAUAUAAAGAUUGUAAGAAGACAUUAAUGUCUAAAUAAAACAAAAUUGAUACUGUUUUAGAUUUUCAAAGAGUAACAAAUUUUACGAAGGUUCAAAUAUAGAAGAUUAAAUAUAGCGAAUGGAAACGCGGCAACAAACAAUAGGAAUAUAUGAAAUUAAUAAUUAGAUUAAAGCCGCUGUAGAUCCGUGGGAAUGAAACUGUAUGUAUCUAUGGGUGGGAAAUAAAUCUUGACAGAUUGAAUAUCGAUAGGUUUCGAUUUUGAAAUCCAGAUAUCAGUACGCGCCAAAUGUGUCUGGUUGCUAUAAAGUGAUAUCUGAGGUACAAGUACUCCUGGAGACGAUGAAUGAGAUCGUUCUACGGGUGUGUCGAAUAUUCCACAUGAUCGAAGCUUGGGCGCCAAUGUCGUAUAUCAAUUUUCGAUUUGUUUUAAUAACACGUUACAGUUGGCGAGAUAUUAAUCUUUGUGUGUGAACACACCUUGUUUCCUCAUACGGUGAGCGUAAAUAUGGAAAACUCGACUUUCUAUAUGCCGAUCGUGGCACCAGCUUGCAUCACAGGUCACAACCUUUCCAAAUACGCAACAUACUUCUCAAAUUCUCUUUUCUCGCGAUGGUAUUCAGAGAGAAAUUCUCCCUCAAAGAAAUUCAAAAACCGCAUUCGAUUAUUAAAUUUCGCAGAAAAGUAAAAACAUUUUAAUACACUGAGCGUUACAUAUAUAUAUAUAUAUAUAUAUUCACCAGCGUAUGUCGAUUUAUGUAUUUAUCUUGAUUUCUCUUCUUGGCGUUAUGCUGUCGUCAUAUAACAGCGCACGCAUUCAUGUCUAAAAGUGAAGGAAUUUGAAGGAAAUUUUUAAUUGCUUGUUUCAAGAUGAAAUAAGGCGUGGCUAUGAAAGGAUUUAUAUUGUAAUGAUAUCAAUCCGUAUUUUCAAUAAACUGCGAUACUAUCUGUAGGCUAGUGCUGAAACUUCUACUAAGUGAAGCAUUCAAUGCAGCCGUAUAAUGGUAUCAUUUAUCGUCUCACGCUCCAAGAUCUUUUCGCGUUCGACGAUUUAUCAUUUCUACGGUCAGCCGUGUCGUCGCCUGAGCAUCAAAUAUGGAAUCAAUUGAUGAAGGAGACUCGAGAUGAAAUCCAAUUUUGUAAUUAGAAUAAAUGUAAAUAUUAAUAUUUUACUGAAAAUUUCAUUGACAAUUAGUUUCAAAGAAUGCUAUUACUUAUGGAGUGAUCUAAUAUUGUAUUUAUAUGUAAUGCAUGAUAAAAUACAAAAAAACACACAUAUGCAUGCAAAAUUCAAUCAACAUUCCGAAAUUGCUAAAGAGCCACGUUAUCGCGGCGAUAUUUAUUAUUAUUAUCCAAUGAUUAGUCCCCAGACGUGCACAUUGCCAUAUGUUGGUAUAUUUUAGAUAUUGUGCAAUAAAUUAUUAAGUAUUUAAUUAAAGUGGAUGCUGCUUAUUUAAGAUACAUACGAAGGAUAAUUUAUGUUGCCGCGUAGCUAUUAAAUUGAAUUAGUAUUACGAGCAACGUAACAAUGGGUGCUUACAAUUAAUAAAUACAGAAGAGUGAUAAUGCAUAAAAUAAAAAUCUGAAAACUCCAACGAAUAUCUGCGAACCGCUCAUGCGGUUCAUGCACUCUCCAACAUAUUUACACGCAUGCGUCGUUUGUUUUACUAUCCGGAACAUAAAUCAUCUCCAUGUAACAACGUAACAACGUUAAAUGUGCAUCGUUAUGGAGGAAGCUGAAGGAAACAAUUAAUGAACAAUUAUGAUGCAAUUUAUGAUUAUGGCGCUCGCUGAUAUUCAUCAUGAGCUAAUGUUGCUAUAAAUAGUUAGCCAAUAAAUUCAAGGCAUGCAAGCACCCGUUGAUUACAGAUCUGUGUGUCCCGUUUUGUAUUUCGUAUUAAAAUAUAGUAUAAUAUUGUAGAUACAUUAUCGUAAAUAAAUAACGAUACAUUAUUUGGCUCAUAUUUCCUAGUCGUAUUACUGUCAUGAUGUUUAUUGUUUCGUCUAUGCGGGCAUUAUUUACAAAUUAUAAAUCUCCGCAUUUUAUAUCUGAACCAGUUAUAUGAACAAGAGUCUCCAUGAUUGCAUGAAGAUAAAUAAUAAACAAGCUAUGGAGGGUGGAGAAUCCAAAAGAAUAUAUAUUUUUAUAACACUUUUAUAAAUAUUAAUUGUGUAAUCAGUUUUCCUGGUUCGGAUUAUUGUAUAUAUACAUACUUUGAGGUGAGAAUAAUUUAACACUUUCGCUUAUUAGCAUCACACACAUGUUUAACAGCAAUUUCCUUUUCAUUUCCAUAAAGUCCAAAAGAAUCUCCCUUUCCAAUAUUAAAAAUUAAAAAAAUGUGAGAUGCUUUCUGGUGGACGAUUCAAUCACUCGGUAUCGAACGCGUUAAAUAAAAUUCUCGUGAAAUUAAGCAGAACGAGAAAAAUGAGCAGGAUCAGUAAAAUUGUAUCUCUAACUAUUCGUUUAUCUACUUUAAGCCUCUUUUUUGCUGUUACGAGAUGACGUUAAAUACACCAUUAAGAGCAGCAAUUAAUGAGUGCGGAAAAGAACGAGUACGUAAAGAGUACGCACUUGGUUCGUUCGCCGACAGGUUCUAAUUACAAUGUAAGUCAACUCGAUCCUCAAGAUCGAUAGUUUAUGCUCUGAUUCUCACACUGAAGCAAUUGUGCAUGUCACACGCAUGGACGCAUUUAAUGCGACGACUGUAAAAAUUCGACAAAUUAUAAAAAAACAUGUUGCAUUACGAGACUCCUCCUCGUUUAUCUUCAGACAGUUGGAUGAAAGCUCUCGCAGAUAAUUGUGCUAAUUAAUACAUCUUCCGUAAUCACGUAAUUAGCGUCGUGGAAAUACUGCACUGCCGUUUUACUGGAACGAGAUUGACUUUCGACGCUUUUCAGCGCGAACAUGCUCGGAUGUCGUUAAUUAUGCGCCGCGCCUGGUAAUAAUUAAAUCGAAACACUGCCUUCCCCGUGAUAGAACGAUGAUCGAAAGUCAUUUCCUAGAAGGCCGCGCGCGUAAUGGUUCGUUGCCUCUAAUUUGAAUAAUCUCUCGCGGCCCGCUCGUCCGGCUCGUUACGAGCACAAGCGCACAGAUUAUCCGGGUAUUAACUGCGUUCCUGAAGAUCAGAAGACGGAUGUCGGAGGAUCCUCAGGUUCAAGUUUCGCCGGUGAAAAAGUUUUUCCAGCCAUCCUCCUGCUACGGUGCACGCGGAACGGAAGCGGACCGGCGAGUAAAAAGUGUCGCGUCUGCAUUAAAACACGCGUCCCUUUAUUCGUCGUCGACCCGAUCAUGCGACGAUUGAUGAAUUGAUGGGUACUAAUGAAUUUGCAUGCGAAUAAGGAGAGGAGAAGUAAAGGUGGAGGAGCGGCUAUCAAUACAGGUGCGCCCGAAUUUUGAUGAGUAACGAUUCUAUCAAGCAUCGCCGAGAAACGUCGAGGAACGAUCGAGGUGUUAAUAAGAAAUUUCGAGAGGAACAAAAGAAGUUAAUUAACACCUUUAGCAGCUGCGUGAACAACCUGUCGCACGUAAAUUGAAAGGUCCUGCGAAAGGUAAUCGCGAUAAAAGAACGGGACUCGAAGUUUUACAUUCUAUCGCGUUCCCAAAGUUAUUUUGGUAUUUAUCGCUAUUUUAUAUUCAAAAUUAGUGUACAGUGUAUAGAAAUAUUUUAAUAUACUAUAAAAAAUUGUCUAUCAAUUAAAGUUUUGAAUUCAUUUUCUUUAUAUUACAGUUUGUUUAAUGUUUGUGAAAAGUAGAUCAUGUUUUCUAUCUUUUUGUAUUCAAAUAAUUAACAAGUAAGAUUCAUACUAGAGUUAUAAUCACUUGCGAAAGUAAUUGGACAAAGCACAGAAAAAGGAAAUAGUCAACUUUUUCUCCAACAUAAACAUAUUUAUAUAUCUCUUUUUUGACAAUAAGAAGUAAUACAUUUUAUGCAGUGUAAAUUAAAUUUAGCAAAAAGUAAAAGUGGUAGCUGUAGUAAAAAUAUAUCCCUCGACAUGUAUUUUUGUAGCUAGCUGUACCCUCAUCGUAAAAGUCGAUACUCCAAUAACUCAUCUUCCAUAAAGGAAAUGAUGCUAUCGUGUUGCUCUUGAAGUAAUGUCGAAAGUGAAACCAAUAGCUCGUGAUACAAUGUUUAAACGUAACAAUGCUAUUUAUAUAUGUUUUGUGUCAUAUAAAUUUUAUUUAUGUGUAUGAUAUCGAGACGGAAUCACUAACCACUCAUUAGCAAUUGUAUAAAUUGUUUCGGAGAAAACCGUCGCCGAAGCUUCGAUUUGUAUCAGCGAGUCGACAGACCGCUUUACAGCUUACCACGUUGCUACUUAUCAUACAUUUGAUUACUUGCAAUGUCCAUCACAAUGGAGCACAUAAAAUGACAAAUACAUUUGAGUGCUCUUGCGUCAAUCAAUAAGACACAGUAGUUCCAUAUGGAGAAUGAUCAAUUCCACAAUAUUCUCAUAUCGAUCGCUCUUAAUCCGCUCCGCUGCGCGAACUAGUUGAAUAUCAAACAUCAAAGAUUUAGCGAAAA